UUUUUCCUUAUCCAGGUAACAAUGGUUCGAGGUAUGCUGUUCUUGUUCGCUGCGGCGCUGCUGUUGGUCGCUGUCACGAAUGUACAAUGUGAAGAUGAUGACGGGCCAGUGCAUCAUAACGUCAUCGACGCUCUUCUACAUUUAGAUA